CAAGUCGAGCGAACAGACAAGGAGCUUGCUCCUUUGACGUUAGCGGCGGACGGGUGAGUAACACGUGGGUAACCUACCUAUAAGACUGGGAUAACUUCGGGAAACCGGAGCUAAUACCGGAUAAUAUUUCGAACCGCAUGGUUCGAUAGUGAAAGAUGGUUUUGCUAUCACUUAUAGAUGGACCCGCGCCGUAUUAGCUAGUUGGUAAGGUAACGGCUUACCAAGGCGACGAUACGUAGCCGACCUGAGAGGGUGAUCGGCCACACUGGAACUGAGACACGGUCCAGACUCCUACGGGAGGCAGCAGUAGGGAAUCUUCCGCAAUGGGCGAAAGCCUGACGGAGCAACGCCGCGUGAGUGAUGAAGGUCUUCGGAUCGUAAAACUCUGUUAUUAGGGAAGAACAUACGUGUAAGUAACUAUGCACGUCUUGACGGUACCUAAUCAGAAAGCCACGGCUAACUACGUGCCAGCAGCCGCGGUAAUACGUAGGUGGCAAGCGUUAUCCGGAAUUAUUGGGCGUAAAGCGCGCGUAGGCGGUUUUUUAAGUCUGAUGUGAAAGCCCACGGCUCAACCGUGGAGGGUCAUUGGAAACUGGAAAACUUGAGUGCAGAAGAGGAAAGUGGAAUUCCAUGUGUAGCGGUGAAAUGCGCAGAGAUAUGGAGGAACACCAGUGGCGAAGGCGACUUUCUGGUCUGUAACUGACGCUGAUGUGCGAAAGCGUGGGGAUCAAACAGGAUUAGAUACCCUGGUAGUCCACGCCGUAACGAUGAGUGCUAAGUGUUUAAGGGGGUUUCCGCCCCUUAGUGCUGCAGCUAACGCAUUAAGCACUCCGCCUGGGG
rnacentral:rRNA from 1 species